UUUCCCUCCAGAGUGGAUCCUGAGUACGGCGGAACACGUGAAAUUCCGUCGGAAUCCGGGAGGACCAUCUCCCAAGGCUAAAUACUCCCUAGUGACCGAUAGUGAACCAGUACCGUGAGGGAAAGGUGAAAAGCACCCCGGAAGGGGAGUGAAACAGUUCCUGAAACCGUGUGCCUACAAGUAGUUAGAGCCCGUUAAUGGGUGAUAGCGUGCCUUUUGUAGAAUGAACCGGCGAGUUACGAUUUGUUGCAAGGUUAAGCGGAAAAAGCGGAGCCGUAGCGAAAGCGAGUCUGAAUAGGGCGCAUAAGUAACAGGUCGUAGACCCGAAACCAGGUGAUCUACCCAUGUCCAGGAUGAAGGUAAGGUAAUACUUACUGGAGGUCCGAACCCACGCACGUUGAAAAGUGCGGGGAUGAGGUGUGGGUAGCGGAGAAAUUCCAAUCGAACUUGGAGAUAGCUGGUUCUCUCCGAAAUAGCUUUAGGGCUAGCCUCGAGGUAAAGAGUCAUGGAGGUAGAGCACUGUUUGGACUAGGGGCCCUUCUCGGGUUACCGAAUUCAGAUAAACUCCGAAUGCCAUGUACUUAUACUCGGGAGUCAGACUGCGAGUGAUAAGAUCCGUAGUCGAAAGGGAAACAGCCCAGACCACCAGUUAAGGUCCCCAAAUAUAUGUUAAGUGGAAAAGGAUGUGGGGUUGCUUAGACAACCAGGAUGUUGGCUUAGAAGCAGCCACCAUUGAAAGAGUGCGUAAUAGCUCACUGGUCGAGUGACCCCGCGCCGAAAAUGUACCGGGGCUAAACAUAUUACCGAAACUGUGGAUGAACCUCUUCGGAGGUUCGUGGUAGGAGAGCGUUCUAAGGGCGGUGAAGUCAGACCGGAAGGACUGGUGGAGCGCUUAGAAGUGAGAAUGCCGGUAUGAGUAGCGAAAGAAGGGUGAGAAUCCCUUCCACCGAAUAUCUAAGGUUUCCUGAGGAAGGCUCGUCCGCUCAGGGUUAGUCGGGACCUAAGCCGAGGCCGAUAGGCGUAGGCGAUGGACAACAGGUAGAGAUUCCUGUACCAGUGCUAAUUGUUUAACCGAUGGGGUGACACAGAAGGAUAGGGAAUCGCACGAAUGGAAAUGUGCGUCCAAGCAGUGAGUGUGAGAAGUAGGCAAAUCCGCUUCUCGCGAAGCAUGAGCUGUGAUGGGGAAGGAAAUUAAGUACGGAAGUUCCUGAUUUCACGCUGUCAAGAAAAGCCUCUAGGAAGAGUAGUACUGCCCGUACCGCAAACCGACACAGGUAGAUGAGGAGAGAAUCCUAAGGUGAGCGAGAGAACUCUCGUUAAGGAACUCGGCAAAAUGACCCCGUAACUUCGGGAGAAGGGGUGCUCUAUUAGGGUGCAAGCCCGAGAGAGCCGCAGUGAAUAGGCCCAGGCGACUGUUUAGCAAAAACACAGGUCUCUGCAAAACCGUAAGGUGACGUAUAGGGGCUGACGCCUGCCCGGUGCUGGAAGGUUAAGAGGAGUGCUUAGCUUCGGCGAAGGUACGAAUUGAAGCCCCAGUAAACGGCGGCCGUAACUAUAACGGUCCUAAGGUAGCGAAAUUCCUUGUCGGGUAAGUUCCGACCCGCACGAAAGGCGCAACGAUCUGGGCACUGUCUCAACGAGAGACUCGGUGAAAUUAUAGUACCUGUGAAGAUGCAGGUUACCCGCGACAGGACGGAAAGACCCCGUGGAGCUUUACUGCAACCUGAUAUGGAAUGUUUGUACCGCUUGUACAGGAUAGGUAGGAGCCGAAGAGACGUGUGCGCUAGCAUACGAGGAGGCAAUGGUGGGAUACUACCCUGGCUGUAUGACCAUUCUAACCCGCCACGCUUAGCGCGUGGGGAGACAGUGUCAGGUGGGCAGUUUGACUGGGGCGGUCGCCUCCUAAAGAGUAACGGAGGCGCCCAAAGGUUCCCUCAGAAUGGAUGGAAAUCAUUCGCAGAGUGUAAAGGCACAAGGGAGCUUGACUGCGAGACUGACAAGUCGAGCAGGGACGAAAGUCGGGCUUAGUGAUCCGGUGGUUCCGCAUGGAAGGGCCAUCGCUCAACGGAUAAAAGCUACCCCGGGGAUAACAGGCUUAUCUCCCCCAAGAGUCCACAUCGACGGGGAGGUUUGGCACCUCGAUGUCGGCUCGUCGCAUCCUGGGGCUGUAGUCGGUCCCAAGGGUUGGGCUGUUCGCCCAUUAAAGCGGCACGCGAGCUGGGUUCAGAACGUCGUGAGACAGUUCGGUCCCUAUCCGUCGCGGGCGCAGGAAAUUUGAGAGGAGCUGUCCUUAGUACGAGAGGACCGGGAUGGACACACCGCUGGUGUACCAGUUGUUCCGCCAGGAGCAUCGCUGGGUAGCUAUGUGUGGCAGGGAUAAACGCUGAAAGCAUCUAAGCGUGAAGCCCCCCUCAAGAUGAGAUUUCCCAUUUCUUCGGAAAGUAAGAUCCCUGAAAGAUGAUCAGGUAGAUA
rnacentral:rRNA from 1 species